AGCGUACACGGUGGAUGCCCUGGCAGUCAGAGGCGAUGAAGGACGUGCUAAUCUGCGAUAAGCGUCGGUAAGGUGAUAUGAACCGUUAUAACCGGCGAUUUCCGAAUGGGGAAACCCAGUGUGUUUCGACACACUAUCAUUAACUGAAUCCAUAGGUUAAUGAGGCGAACCGGGGGAACUGAAACAUCUAAGUACCCCGAGGAAAAGAAAUCAACCGAGAUUCCCCCAGUAGCGGCGAGCGAACGGGGAGGAGCCCAGAGCCUGAAUCAGUGUGUGUGUUAGUGGAAGCGUCUGGAAAGGCGCGCGAUACAGGGUGACAGCCCCGUACACAAAAAUGCACAUACUGUGAGCUCGAUGAGUAGGGCGGGACACGUGGUAUCCUGUCUGAAUAUGGGGGGACCAUCCUCCAAGGCUAAAUACUCCUGACUGACCGAUAGUGAACCAGUACCGUGAGGGAAAGGCGAAAAGAACCCCGGCGAGGGGAGUGAAAAAGAACCUGAAACCGUGUACGUACAAGCAGUGGGAGCCUCUUUAUGGGGUGACUGCGUACCUUUUGUAUAAUGGGUCAGCGACUUAUAUUCUGUAGCAAGGUUAACCGAAUAGGGGAGCCGAAGGGAAACCGAGUCUUAACUGGGCGUUAAGUUGCAGGGUAUAGACCCGAAACCCGGUGAUCUAGCCAUGGGCAGGUUGAAGGUUGGGUAACACUAACUGGAGGACCGAACCGACUAAUGUUGAAAAAUUAGCGGAUGACUUGUGGCUGGGGGUGAAAGGCCAAUCAAACCGGGAGAUAGCUGGUUCUCCCCGAAAGCUAUUUAGGUAGCGCCUCGUGAAUUCAUCUCCGGGGGUAGAGCACUGUUUCGGCAAGGGGGUCAUCCCGACUUACCAACCCGAUGCAAACUGCGAAUACCGGAGAAUGUUAUCACGGGAGACACACGGCGGGUGCUAACGUCCGUCGUGAAGAGGGAAACAACCCAGACCGCCAGCUAAGGUCCCAAAGUCAUGGUUAAGUGGGAAACGAUGUGGGAAGGCCCAGACAGCCAGGAUGUUGGCUUAGAAGCAGCCAUCAUUUAAAGAAAGCGUAAUAGCUCACUGGUCGAGUCGGCCUGCGCGGAAGAUGUAACGGGGCUAAACCAUGCACCGAAGCUGCGGCAGCGACGCUUAUGCGUUGUUGGGUAGGGGAGCGUUCUGUAAGCCUGUGAAGGUGUACUGUGAGGUAUGCUGGAGGUAUCAGAAGUGCGAAUGCUGACAUAAGUAACGAUAAAGCGGGUGAAAAGCCCGCUCGCCGGAAGACCAAGGGUUCCUGUCCAACGUUAAUCGGGGCAGGGUGAGUCGACCCCUAAGGCGAGGCCGAAAGGCGUAGUCGAUGGGAAACAGGUUAAUAUUCCUGUACUUGGUGUUACUGCGAAGGGGGGACGGAGAAGGCUAUGUUGGCCGGGCGACGGUUGUCCCGGUUUAAGCGUGUAGGCUGGUUUUCCAGGCAAAUCCGGAAAAUCAAGGCUGAGGCGUGAUGACGAGGCACUACGGUGCUGAAGCAACAAAUGCCCUGCUUCCAGGAAAAGCCUCUAAGCAUCAGGUAACAUCAAAUCGUACCCCAAACCGACACAGGUGGUCAGGUAGAGAAUACCAAGGCGCUUGAGAGAACUCGGGUGAAGGAACUAGGCAAAAUGGUGCCGUAACUUCGGGAGAAGGCACGCUGAUAUGUAGGUGAAGCGACUUGCUCGUGGAGCUGAAAUCAGUCGAAGAUACCAGCUGGCUGCAACUGUUUAUUAAAAACACAGCACUGUGCAAACACGAAAGUGGACGUAUACGGUGUGACGCCUGCCCGGUGCCGGAAGGUUAAUUGAUGGGGUUAGCGGUAACGCGAAGCUCUUGAUCGAAGCCCCGGUAAACGGCGGCCGUAACUAUAACGGUCCUAAGGUAGCGAAAUUCCUUGUCGGGUAAGUUCCGACCUGCACGAAUGGCGUAAUGAUGGCCAGGCUGUCUCCACCCGAGACUCAGUGAAAUUGAACUCGCUGUGAAGAUGCAGUGUACCCGCGGCAAGACGGAAAGACCCCGUGAACCUUUACUAUAGCUUGACACUGAACAUUGAGCCUUGAUGUGUAGGAUAGGUGGGAGGCUUUGAAGUGUGGACGCCAGUCUGCAUGGAGCCGACCUUGAAAUACCACCCUUUAAUGUUUGAUGUUCUAACGUUGGCCCCUGAUCGGGGUUGCGGACAGUGUCUGGUGGGUAGUUUGACUGGGGCGGUCUCCUCCUAAAGAGUAACGGAGGAGCACGAAGGUUGGCUAAUCCUGGUCGGACAUCAGGAGGUUAGUGCAAUGGCAUAAGCCAGCUUGACUGCGAGCGUGACGGCGCGAGCAGGUGCGAAAGCAGGUCAUAGUGAUCCGGUGGUUCUGAAUGGAAGGGCCAUCGCUCAACGGAUAAAAGGUACUCCGGGGAUAACAGGCUGAUACCGCCCAAGAGUUCAUAUCGACGGCGGUGUUUGGCACCUCGAUGUCGGCUCAUCACAUCCUGGGGCUGAAGUAGGUCCCAAGGGUAUGGCUGUUCGCCAUUUAAAGUGGUACGCGAGCUGGGUUUAGAACGUCGUGAGACAGUUCGGUCCCUAUCUGCCGUGGGCGCUGGAGAACUGAGGGGGGCUGCUCCUAGUACGAGAGGACCGGAGUGGACGCAUCACUGGUGUUCGGGUUGUCAUGCCAAUGGCACUGCCCGGUAGCUAAAUGCGGAAGAGAUAAGUGCUGAAAGCAUCUAAGCACGAAACUUGCCCCGAGAUGAGUUCU
rnacentral:rRNA from 1 species